AUGGCUCACUGUAGCAACCCGGUGUUGGAGGUCGGGCAUGCUCCUGAAACGUCCACUGCGAAGUGAUCCACUGGCGCCGAAAUGAACGCGAUUAAGAUAAAAAUACACACAAACAAGACACAGAAACGCUUUUGAAUCGUGUUUUUGCUCGUCUGUUAACCCGCGACUUGACGCAAAGUGUGGAGCAACCGCAGAAGAGCUUUGGGAAGUGUCCGUCCGUUUUGUCCUACAAAGCGGCGGGUGUUUGACAGCGGGAGGGCCCGACGUUAGGAAACCGCUGCGGCUGGAGGAGGAGGAGGCAGGAGAAGAAGGAGGAAGGCUCUCUGAAGACCCAAUGAAACAUUAAGGAGUCAUUUCUGCUGAGGGAAGCGAGCUGAGUCAUGAGGAAGGACGUGAGGAUACUCCUUGUUGGAGAACCCAAGGUGGGGAAGACGUCGCUGAUCAUGUCUCUGGUUAGUGAGGAGUUUCCUGAUGAGGUUCCUCUCAGAGCUGAAGAGAUCACCAUCCCAGCUGAUGUGACCCCAGAGCGGGUUCCCACACACAUCGUGGAUUACUCUGAAGCAGAGCAAACUGAUGAGCAGCUGUAUCAAGAAAUCUCCAAGGCCAACGUGAUCUGCAUAGUUUAUUCAGUUAACAACAAGAAGUCCAUCGAAAAGGUGACGAGCCACUGGAUUCCUCUUAUAAGCGACCGCACAGAUAAAGACAGCAGGGUACCACUGAUUCUCGUGGGGAACAAGUCGGACUUGGUGGAGCACAGCAGCAUGGAGACCAUCCUGCCCAUCAUGAAUCAGUACCAGGACAUUGAGACCUGUGUAGAGUGUUCUGCCAAGAACCUGAAGAACAUCUCUGAGCUUUUCUACUACGCCCAGAAGGCCGUUCUCCACCCGACCGGACCUCUGUACUGCCCAGAGGAGAAGGAGUUGAAACCUUCCUGCAUUAAGGCUUUAACUCGGAUAUUUAAAAUCUCCGACCUGGACAACGAUGGGGUGCUGAACGACAACGAACUCAACUUCUUCCAGAGAACCUGUUUCAAUACGCCUCUGGCACCUCAAGCCUUAGAAGACGUGAAGAACGUGGUGAGGAGGAACAUGGCCGACGGAGUCAGAGAUGACGGACUCACCCUCAAAGGCUUCCUCUUCCUGCACACUCUGUUCAUCCAGCGAGGUCGACACGAAACCACGUGGACGGUGCUGAGGAGGUUCGGAUACGAUGACGACCUGGAGCUCACGCAGGAAUAUCUGUUCCCUCUGAUAAAAGUCCCUCCAGACUGCACCACUGAGCUAAACCACAACGCUUACCUCUUUCUGCAGAGUGUCUUUGACAAACACGACAAAGACAGAGACUGUGCGCUUUCCCCAGAGGAAGUGAAGGACCUGUUCAAUGUGUUUCCCUACAUGCCCUGGGGUCCAGAUGUCAACAACACGGUGUGCACCAACGAUGAGGGAUGGAUCACAUACCAGGGAUACCUCUCCCAGUGGACGUUAACAACAUAUCUGGACGUCCAGAGGAGUUUGGAGUAUUUAGGUUACCUCGGCUACUCCAUCAUCUGUGAACAGGAGUCCCAAGCUGCUGCUAUUACUGUGACGCGUAACAAGCGCAUCGAUCUGCAGAAGAAGCAAACGCAGCGAAGCGUCUUCCGGUGCAACGUGUUGGGGGCGCGCGGCAGCGGGAAAAGUGGCUUCCUGCAAGCUUUCCUCGGCAGAAACCUGCAGAGGCAGAUGCGGAUCAGAGAAGACCACAAGUCCUACUAUGCCAUCAGCACGACCUACGUUUACGGUCAGGAGAAGUACCUGCUGCUCCACGAGGUGAUGCCAGAUUUCGACAUCCUGUCGGAGCCCGACCUGAGCUGCGACGUGGUCUGCCUGGUGUACGACAUCAAUGACCCUCGUUCUUUCGAGUACUGUGCUAAAGUCUACAAGGAAUGCUUCUUAGACAGCAAGACGCCCUGCGUCGUGGUCGCUGCCAAGUCCGACCUGCACGAGGUUCGGCAGCAGUACAGCCAGUCGCCGCUCGACUUCUGCCGCAAGCACAAGCUCCACCCGCCGCAGCCGUUCACGUGCAACACGAACGAGGCGCCCAGUAAGGACCUGUACACCAGACUCACCACCAUGGCCAUGCACCCCCACGCCCGCCUCCGGUGCAUGUGUUCCUGCAACAGGUGCACUUAUUGCCUGUGUCAAAACCUCCUCAAGUUGGAGCUGCUGCGCAGCAUUAAGGCGCAACUCCGCAGGGUCGUUUACAACAGGUGUUCAUAUCCGUGUUUCUGGCUGCCGCUUUUCCUCUUCCUCUUGCAUCUCUUCACCUUUUUUUAACACCUGACGCCCUGUCUUACUUGUUCUCCAGCUUUUAAAUUAAACCCAACUUGGCGCUUAGCGAAAUGCUGCCAUCUACUGGUGUGUGAGAGGUUUUGUCUCCGUCUCUAUAAUAACAGGAGCUCAGUGUUUUGAACCUGGUGGGAGUUGUCGGCUGUGGGAAUGUUUCUGAUAAAUUUGACCCGCAUGGAACCGGACCGUGCCACGUUUCAUUCAGUGCUAACCUUUUUUUGUUUUGAUUGCUUUUUCUUCUUCUCGGUUAUUAAAGCAGCAUGCAGCUGUAGAUCUUCACAGCCAGCUGAGCGAGAACGACUCCAGGAAAUGCUUAGGGUUCACUAAAGUUUCACACCAGGAGAGCCAGAGGGAUCAAAAAGAUUAAUCUGAUAAUAAAUGAAAGAAUCAUAACAUCUUCAGGCUAUAAUAAUAGGUUUAUCAGGGGACUGUGUUACUUUCCAGACUGGCUAUUUUUUGGUGUGAACUGCGUUUAUUUGCUGUGUUUGUGGAGCUUUUUGUGUUUGAACUCUAAAGAGAUGUGGAGCUGGGUGAAACUGUUUUUUUUUGUUUAAAUCAUCAUUAUUAUUUUAUUCUGUUUUAUAUGAUUUAAAAUAAACUUUUCUGUUAAUGAAAAAACAUUUUGAACCACUACUUCCAAUUCACUGGUUUGAUCAAAUUCAACAACCUUUAAUGGUGUAAAGCUUGAAGAUUUUAGAUUUAUACACAUUAAAAAAAACAUUUAAUGUUCACUUCUGAAUCCACUGCCAGUUAUUGCAGAAAUUAACUUUUUUUAAUCGCAACAUUAAAUCAUAGUUUAAUGCAAUCAUAUAACUAUAUUAUAGGAUGCAUUAAGAUUCUUCCAUUGUUUUGAAUUUGGAAGGAGUUCAGUGGUGAACCUUCAACAAAAGUGCUUCACAACUAAUAUUUGUCAGUUGUCAUUGCAAAUGAAACCAACCAAUUAACUUUAGAUUUUAAUAGUCAUUUCAUUAAACAUAAUACAUAGCUCUAUAUUCAUAGCUGUGAAAUCUUUAACAUGAGGGUAUCAGUGUUAGGGUUUAAAGGGAUUCACUGGAUUAAAAGUCUAAUUAUAAAUUGUUUAAAAUGUAUUUUUUUUAAAGAAUCGUGGUCAUUUUGAGGUUCACUGAUGUUUGAUAUUAGUUUCCUUCUGUACCAGAGAUAAUAAACUAUAAACCACUCCCUGAGACUUUUAGCAUCUUGAUCACCUACUGCGGUGAUCAUCAAAUGCCGACUUACUGGCCACUUUAUUAGGUACACCUUGCUACUACCUGAAUGGAGAGUUUUUGCUCUUUAAGCAGCCUCAGUUCUUCUGUGGAAAAGGUUCAGCAAGGUUUCUGGAACAUUCCUUAAUGUUUUUGCUCCGUAUUAACAGGAAAAGAUCGUAUAGUUGGUUGAAGUUUUGUCUUCUGCACAUCCACGAUUCAUUUGCUGUUUCUACCAAUCGUCCCUAGAGCACUACAUAGCAGUGAGACCUGUUGACUAAUCACUUCAAACACCAACAAGCCAUCUUCUGACCCCUGACUUGAGAUUUUGCGUUUAGUCUCUCAAAUCUUUGUUCUUCCACGUUUUGAUGUGGAAGAACAAAAGUCGUCUUUGCCACAUCCAGAUGCUUGAACCCAUUAAGUCUCUGCUUUGUGACUGGCAGCCAACUCGGUGUACCUAAUAAAGUCGCUCCAGCGGUCUUGUGGUUGUUAAACUUCACGCACUGAUAUUGAUAUUUCUGCAUCGUGCAGGUUAAAAUUAAAACAAACCACCUUGGAUUUAAUAUUAAUGCUGGUUUUAAAUUUCUAAUAGUAAAACAGUAACAGAUGCAUCACUAAUCCAUAGUUGCAGCCCCAGUGUGCAUAAUUCUGCGGUAUCUCCCAGCUUCACCUGCUGUGUGGCGUUGUGACUGUUUGUGGGAACGCUGCUGGGCUGGGUGGAAGUAGCUCUGAGCUUCCUGCUGUCAGGGGAGGAUUUCAGGCUGGUGCUGCAGGUUAGACGGUCAUCUCCAGCAUAGAGGAGCCCGCUUAUAUGAAGGCCUCCGCUUGAGCAGCCAGCUUCUUCACAAAGGCACAUGGCCCAGGCGGACCUGAAGAACUCCACCUUCUGGCUGAGGGCCAGCCUCGGUGCCACCGUGUUCGCAGUGUUGGGCUUCGCC